CACCAUUGUUGAUCCGACCAAGCUUCUCUUCCGUCUGCAACACCUCGACUUGAUUCUGACGGCGAGGCUCGAUCCCGACGGCGACGAAGAGCACGGCCACGCGGUGGAGCUGAUCAGGGCGAUUUCAGAGCUUCCACGGUGGAUUGCGUGGAGGAGAGCUCCGACUUGGAGCGUGCUGGAGAUUGACGAAGAAGGAGAAUCAUGGAGGAGGCCCGUUACCAACCGUAAUACUUUCAGUGUCGAACAGCGUGUUUAUUAUCAGAAAGAGACAAGAAAACCGGCUACGGGGAAAGAUAAAUAGUUUCCAAUACGUACGUGAGACUACUACUGUAAUUUCAACCAUGUCGAUCACAAGGUUCGCAAAUUAAUUAUAAAAAAGCACACUUUACCAAUUUCGACACUGAAUUUGUAUAUUCACCUAAAUAGGACUUCUUUUAAUAAGAUAGAUAGGAUUUUAUGUAUAUUAUUAGUAAUAUACUAAUUCAUAAUGUUAUAGCUUUAAUUUGAAAACGUGACCUUGUGGAGCCCACUCAAAUAAGUAAAGAUCACUCAAAUAAGUAAAGAUCACUCAAAUAGUCCAUGUCACUAUCAUGACAUCGUCCAUGUGGAACUCGUGCUUACAAAAAUUAUUUAAAACUAGGGGCUUUUCCGGGCUACGUCCGGAUUUUUUCCUAUAAUAUUAGUUUAAUUUUUAUAUUUAUAUAUUUUAAAAACGAACAAAUAUAAUAUACACUGAAACUUGUUAUAGAAUUAUAAACAUAAAUGCAAAUUUAAAAUUAUUUGAAAUAAUUUGUUGUGUUUUAUUGGAGUUUUAUGUAGGAUAUUAGAAAGAUUAAUAAAAAUUUAACUAAAUUAUAAGUUAAGAUCUAUAUAUAUAUAUAUAUAUAUUCUUUAUCUUGGUUAUUUAUUUUUAUAUAAAACAAUUGUAUUUUUUCCUAUAAUAUUAGUUUAAUUUUUAUAUUUAUAUUUUAAAAACGAACAAAUAUAAUAUACACUGAAACUUGUUAUAGAAUUAUAAACAUAAAUGUAAAUUUAAAAUUAUUUGAAAUAAUUUGUUGUGUUUUAUUGGAGUUUUAUGUAGGAUAUUAGAAAGAUUAAUAAAAAUUUAACUAAAUUAUAAGUUAAGAUCUAUAUAUAUAUAUAUAUAUAUAUUUUCUUUAUCUUGGUUAUUUAUUUUUAUAUAAAACAAUUGUAAAGCUUAUAAUUAGUACUGUAUAAAUUUUGAUUGGUUUUAAAAUUAUUAAGUUUCAUUUAUGUACUUGUAUUUAAAAGAAAGUACCACCGACUUGUAUACCGAUUCUUUAUUUGUUGUCUUCAAUUUAUCGUUUUAACCAAAAUAAUUUUGUCAACCUUUUAACCAAAACUUAAAUUUAACAAAAACGGUUUAAGAAUUCUAACACCUACGGUUUGAUCUACAAUCUGAGUUGCAAACCUACAAACUGCAUUAUUAUUAUUCUCGCAUUUGCCUCACUUCUUCUUUUGUGUUUCAUGGCCUUUUUUUUAGGUUCCAUGACCUUUGUCUAUGGUGCUUUGAUAGUAUUAUGUACAAACUCAAUAUUAAAUUCUACUUUAGUUAUACACAUUCUAAGUUAUUAUCCAGGCUACACAUGUUUAUAUAAACAAUUUGUUUUAUAUUUAUAAUAAUUUUAAAAUUAUCAAAAUAGAAGAUCGUGUUUAAAAUUGUAACCUUUUAAUUAACUGCCAUUUUCUAUUUUUGGAUUUAUAUAUACAUAAAUUAUGUUUUAAAUGUACAUUUCAUAUAUAAUACACAUUAUGUUAAUAUUUUUUUGUAUACGUAAUCUUAUGAUAUAAUAUUUUAUAAUCACAUUUAAUAUGAGUAACAUAUACUAAUUAUUGAAUAAAAUUAAAUUGCAUCUUUUUCCCCAAAAAAAUUCACUGUUUAAAUAAAAUAUGUUCUAUAAAUAUUGAAGCUAACCUAGGGUACAUGAAGCUAAGCUGAUCACCACCGUGCUUGUAUUCCUCCAACAUCUGAGGAUGAUACUCCAGUAUCUAAUGUUUUUUUUCCCCAAAGAUAAGUGACUGUUAAAACCAUUAAAGAGCAGAGAAAAGCAAGAUGUGUAGAAGAAGAAAUGCUUUUUGUGUUACCUCUCAGUAGAUUAAUUCUCUGACAUCAUCAUUUGUUAACUUCUUUCUCUCGAAAUCAAACUCAAGCUUUGAGAUUGGCUGUGUUGAUGGUUCACGCUCUGAGUUUGACAAACCACUGAAGUAUGGAUCAGAUAGUGCCUGAAUAAGCAAGAUCAGAACAAUGAAAGAUAAGAGUUUAAGUCUGUGUAAGAAAAUGGGAAAGAAAAACAAAAAGGUACAUCUUCAGAAGAUGCACGGUCUUUGGGU